rnacentral:rRNA from 1 species
CCUACGGGAGGCAGCAGUGAGGAAUAUUGGUCAAUGGGCGAGAGUCUGAACCAGCCAAGUAGCGUGAAGGAUGACUGCCCUAUGGGUUGUAAACUUCUUUUAUAUAGGAAUAAAAUGUGCCACGUGUGGCAUUUUGUAUGUACCAUAUGAAUAAGGAUCGGCUAACUCCGUGCCAGCAGCCGCGGUAAUACGGAGGAUCCGAGCGUUAUCCGGAUUUAUUGGGUUUAAAGGGAGCGUAGGUGGAUUGUUAAGUCAGUUGUGAAAGUUUUCGGCUCAACCGUAAAAUUGCAGUUGAAACUGGCAGUCUUGAGUACAGUAGAGGUGGGCGGAAUUCGUGGUGUAGCGGUGAAAUGCUUAGAUAUCACGAAGAACUCCGAUUGCGAAGGCAGCUCACUGGACUGCAACUGACACUGAUGCUCGAAAGUGUGGGUAUCAAACAGGAUUAGAUACCCGUGUAGUC